GUUAUUGAUCUUAGUCAAGUUCAGAAGUUCUAUUUUUGGUCAAAUUUUAUUAUAAGAAGGUACAUUAAAAAUGUGGUCGUUCUCUUUCUUCUCCCUCUCUCUCAGACUGGAAGCUGCUCUCAAACUGCAAUCGUAUAUACCAUUGAACACCAACACAACUUUUAAGUUAUGAGUUCAUUUUGAAAUUAUUAUUAUUAUUAUUAUUAUUAUUAUUAAUUAUUAUUAUUUUUGUUAAAUGAACUGAUAAUAAUUGUAUUGUUAUUCUUGUUCUGUACCUCAUUCCUCACCAUUAUCUACAUGCAUCACUAUGAUCAGUGACUAUAUGUACACAGCCAAGAA